UACGUAGGGUGCAAGCGUUGUCCGGAAUUAUUGGGCGUAAAGAGCUCGUAGGCGGUUUGUCGCGUCGAAUGUGAAAACCCGGGGCUCAACUCCGGGCCUGCAUUCGAUACGGGCAGACUAGAGUUCGGUAGGGGAGUCUGGAAUUCCUGGUGUAGCGGUGAAAUGCGCAGAUAUCAGGAGGAACACCGGUGGCGAAGGCGGGACUCUGGGCCGUUACUGACGCGUGAGGAGCGAAGCUGGGGAGCGAACAG
rnacentral:rRNA from 1 species